GACGUAGGGCGCGAGCGUUGUCCGGAUUUAUUGGGCGUAAAGAGCUCGUAGGCGGCUUGUCGCGUCGACUGUGAAAACCCGCGGCUCAACUGCGGGCUUGCAGUCGAUACGGGCAGGCUAGAGUCCGGUAGGGGACCACGGAAUUCCUGGUGUAGCGGUGAAAUGCGCAGAUAUCAGGAGGAACACCGGUGGCGAAGGCGGUGGUCUGGGCCGGCACUGACGCUGAGGAGCGAAAGCGUGGGGAGCGAACAGG
rnacentral:rRNA from 1 species